UGAGGAACAUGACCUUCGGCGGGGGAUAGCCGGCCCAACGGCCGGGUAAUACCGCGUACGACCACAUGGGGACAUCCCUGAGUGGUGAAAGCAGCAAUGCGCCGAUGGAGGGCCUCGCGGCCUAUCAGCUAGUUGGUGAGGUAACGGCUCACCAAGGCGACGACGGGUAGCUGGUCUGAGAGGAUGGCCAGCCACAGUUGGGACUGAGACACGGCCCAGACUCCGUAGGGACGG
rnacentral:rRNA from 1 species